rnacentral:lncRNA from 1 species
AGAUUGUGGAAUCCGCUGAUUCAUACAUCUUUGCAGGACCCAUUUUCAACGAUUAUAGUUCUGUUGGGUAUUCUCUGCUUCUCAAGAAGGAUAAGGCCAUAUUGGUACAGCCCGAGCGGGUUGUGAUUGGUAAUGGGCCAGCAUUUGGCUGCAUUUUGAUGAAAGAUUUCCUCAAGGCACUCUCCAAGAGGCUCAAGUGCAAUACCACUGCUUAUGAGAACUACCAUAGGAUCUAUGUUCCUGAAGGGCAGCCUCUCAGGUCUGAUCCCAAGGAGCCUU